rnacentral:lncRNA from 1 species
CUUUGAUGUGAGCAAGGACAAGGUGCAGUGAUGACAGGCAGGUCCAUCACAUCAGAGCCCAGGAACAGAAGUAUCUUCUCUGAGCUGGUGCCUGACAAUUCGAAAUCAAAGGGCAUCUGGUGGAAGAUUACAGUUACAACAGUUUGGGGAAAAGGAAACAAAACCACUGUUCAUCCCUGCAAUGGGAUAUCUUGUGACAAACAUCUUACUCUAACUGAGCCAGAGAAGACCAAGCUGGAUCCCCGAACUUCCUACACUGGUAGCCUCUACCAAAGUAUGUGUGGAUGCCUGCGAGCUAUACCAUCUACUGAAGGGGACAGCUGGAAUCAUUGGCAGGAACACAACAGCAUUUAUCAGGUUUUUCCCAGUGCUGAAGCUCUCGGUGGCAAAGACUGA